rnacentral:rRNA from 1 species
AAACGCUUGAAGUCAGUCGCGUCCUUCGGAAUUCAGCCUUGUGGUGUACUUUCCGUUUGGACGGGCCAGCAUCACUUUCGGUCGUCGGAGAAGGGCGGGAGGAAUGUGGCACCUUCGGGUGUGUUAUAGCCCCCCGUCGUAUACGAUGGCCGGGAGUGAGGACCGCCUUUUGUAGGAUGCUGGCGUAAUGGCUUUAAACGA